CCUAGGGGAGGCAGCAGUGGGGAAUAUUGCACAAUGGGCGCAAGCCUGAUGCAGCCAUGCCGCGUGUAUGAAGAAGGCCUUCGGGUUGUAAAGUACUUUCAGCGGGGAGGAAGGUGUUGAGGUUAAUAACCUCAGCAAUUGACGUUACCCGCAGAAGAAGCACCGGCUAACUCCGUGCCAGCAGCCGCGGUAA
rnacentral:rRNA from 1 species